UUUAUGCUGUUGCUGAUGCAGCAUACCAUACAAUGAGCUGAAGUGGAUCAAAUCGGAUAUGACAUUAUGCAAGAGAGAUGUGGGUGUGCCUGCAUUGUGAAGCACCACCACCUGACAUCACAUGAUAUCUCAUCUUCUUAUGAGAGCUUGCUAUGGGGAAUGCGGUUUGAUUUUUCGUCUCCGCAAAAAGGUGUUGAAGAUGAGAGUUUCAACUUUCGACAACUUGACAUCACAUGAUAUCUCAUCUUCUUGUGAGACAUUGAUUUGUAGUCAGCCAACACUAGGGCAAAAAGUGAAAAAAAGAAACAUGGAAGGGGAGAAAAAAAGAAAAAAAACUGAAAAAAAAGGUAAAAAAGAGAAAGCAGAUCUGUUGAAAAAAAGAAAAGAAAA